CUGAGUGCAACCCCGGGGUGCAACCCUUGAGUGCAACCCUUGAAUGCAACCCCUGAGUGCAACCCUUGGGUGCAACUCCUGAUGCAACCCUUGGGUGCAACUCGUGUGUGCAACCCCUGAGUGCACCCCUUGGUGCAACCCCUGAGUGCAACCCUUCAGCGCAACCCCUGAGUGCAACCCUUGAGUGCAACCCCUGGGCACAGAGCUCCUUUUACAUCUGCACGUGAGCAGGGAAAGCAAUGCACUCAGCCCCAAAACAAACGUGGUGCCAAGAGUCUGCUCGCCCUGCUGCACUUCUCUAUUGCCCCAAAGAAAUCCCAAUUUCAUCGAUUUCCCCCAUCAGCAUUGUGCUGCAUGCUCAGCUGUGAUUGUGACACCCUCAGAUUGCAACAACCCCAACCCCAAGCCAGCAAAAAUCCCUCUGAAUCCAGCCUUGAGGCUUUGCCAGGAGCACUCCUUCCCACUCCAUCAGUCCUUCUGAUGAAAGCCACCAGAAUCCUCACGGAUGUGCCUCCCACCAGCUCCAAAAACAUAAAGUUUUAACUCUUUUCUGGCUCCCACGCUGCUGACACAGCUCCCAGCCCCGUCCCGCUGGGAUUCCUCCCUGCUGGAAACUGAUAAUGGAUUUUGGCCACGGC
rnacentral:lncRNA from 7 species